AGGCACACCAGCUUUUGAAGAGUUAGUAUAAAAGAAAAAAAUGUAAAAUAUCUCAUAGUAAGUUUUGUAUUGGUGGUAUCUUGAAAUGAUAAUAUUUUGGAUAUAUUUGGCCAAGUAAAAUAGAUUAUUGAAAUUAAUUUUACUUAUUUCUUUUACUUAUUUUAAUGUGGCUCGUAGACAAUUUACAGUUAUAUAUGUGCUUUGCUUUUGUGUCUCACAUUAUAUCCUACUGGACAGUGCUGCUUAGAUGAUUAAAUUUGUUGUUUCAGCUGUAGGAGAUUAUGAUGUUUGGAUUCUUAAAUAUUAAGCGUGAGGUCAGUGCCUCUUGCUGGCAAGGCCACCCCUGCUUGGUCCUUUCCCUCUUUCUAAGCCUGGGAGAAGGGGUAUCUUUCUCGUUAAGAGACAGAUUGAUAGGUAAAAGAGACAUAAGAAAAAGACCAGAGCAUCACUGAUGUGCCAUCAAGAGUGGAGGUAGUUACAGCAUACUCUGUCAGCUGUAACUAGGCUGUUUGCCUUUUUCUAAGAAAGCACUAGAACCCAUCCCUUGAAAAUGAGAAAGAGCCUGUUUAUUCACCCGAUGAGGACUAAGUUGUGUCUGUCACCCGAGGUGUGAACUCCGGAAAAAUGUGAGAAUGACAAAUUAUAAUCUUAUUUCGAGUGGAGAGGACAGAACUGGGUGGGAUGGACUAAAUAUUGUGAUUUCUUACUGUCUUCAGACUUGAUAUUGACUGAAACUGAUUUUCAACAUAACAUUUAUAAUUUUAUUGCAAUACUGUUCUUAAAGCAUGGGAAAGUGGUUAUUCAAGAGCUCAUGCUUUCUGAAGAAGGAACCAAAUAUCUGAUGUCUCCUGAACAUGAUUUAGAUUAUCCUCCCACCAAGAGUAAAGACUUCAUUUCAUGAAGUAGAGGAUGGAGAGGAGGUUGAAUUAUAAAGUCUCUAACCUUUUGUCCAAUUUUAAGAUUUUGUCCUUUUUUUUUUCUUCAAAGUUUUGUUGCAGUGCUGUGAACUAUAUUCAUUGUUUGGAAUUAAUGAAAGAUUAUAUUAUUACCAUGUCCAUUGAAUCUUAUUUUCUGUAAGCUAAUACACUAGAGGAAACCAUGAGUUCUGUGUUUGCAAAAAAAAAAGAAGAGAGAUUUUCAAUAUCCUCUUACUGCUUAUGAACAUCUGUUUUAGAAGUUUUUAAUUAUCUCCAGGGAGAGAGGGACAUAAUAGUGGUGUUCAUACGGAAGCAAUUUAAAAGUGAUCACACUUGGUUCUCCAAAUGGGUCUUUGCUUGUUUUAGGGGCAGAGGUGGGGGUUGCUUAUUCAUCUGGUAUACAGAAUGUUCAAUACUUUGGCCGUUUUAGCAUUUGAAAAUUACUAAUAUUCCAUUUCCUGAGACAUGGAAAAUGGAUAAUUUUGUCUAAGCAAGCAAAUCAAACACUGUAAUAUCUUGAUUAAAAUAAAAAGCAGGAGAUGCUCUGGGUUUCUUUACAAAAUGUAUUUUUCUGCUCUACAGACAAACUGUUGGGUGCUGAUCACGGGAGCUGUGGUAGUUAUAGCGCAUAAAUAAAAACGGCAUUCCACGCAUCAGCAUCCUGGAGCAUUUACAGAAGAGGCUGUGAAAGAUACACUGGGGGAGACAACUCAGAGAUUCUGUACAGCUCUCUUCCAAGAAUUUAAAACACUUUCAGACAGUGUAGGAAGUUAGACUUGUUCUGCGUGACUUCAGGCGACUCAAGAGGAAGAGGCGAUGUUAAGGAUGAGGGAAAUCUCUUCUAAGUUUGCCAAAGAGUGCCCUAACAAAUAGAGAUAACAGGGAGAUUGGUGGCACUUGGGGGUCGGGCUCACUCGUGAGGGGAUGUGUUUAAGCAGAGGAUAGAUCACGGCCUAUGAAGUACGCUAGAACUUCAACCUUAGGUAGAAAUUUGGCAGGAUAUUAGACAAGGUUAACUUUCAGAAACCCUGCAAUGUUAAGGUAUGAGAAGCAAAAACUAACUUGUGUUAACAGGCUUCUAAAACGAAAACGUUUGGCUUCUGGAUUGCAUUAUUCAUUGCAAAUCCGAUGAAAUGCACUUACUUGUUUAAAGCUGCUGAUUAUUUGGGUUACAGUUCACAUCCUCACUUGAGUGCAGUGAAGAACAUGUUUAUUAGCCUGGAUCUCUGUAUUCCAGGCAUGAGCCCUUUUGAUGAGAGGUGACUAAAGCGUGUGGGUGUUUUUGCAGCCCUCCCACGUAUAGCACAGUCUGGUAGCUGACAGUUCUGUUGGCGCAGCUAGUCUGUACACUGACCUUAUUAAAACAUUGAUCAGCUCAGACCUCAUGGAGCUUAUCUGUGCACAGCUGCCUCAUCCUAGAUAGCAUUCAUUUUGUGCCCUAGUGAUUUUGCACGGUGAGGAUUCGAAAGAGACCAAACUUAAAACCUUCACAAAACUGUGAAGAUGGAAAUGAGUCUCUUGUGUUUCUUACUGAAUCAGCAUAACAAGAUAUUAGAGCAAGAAGGGAAGGUGAAAAUGAUUUAUUUCAUUGGUUCUCAGCCUUGGCUAUCCCUUGGACUUGCUGGAGACUGAAAAUAAAAUCCAUAAAAUCCAGGUCUGGGCCCCACACUCAGGGAUUUUUGACUUGGGCUAAAUUGGUUCCUGCGCUCUGGUUUGGGUUUUGUUUGUUUGUUUGACAGAUCGGCAGAG